ensembl:lncRNA
AUUUGGUGAAGGGGUACAGCAGACUUUUCUGGCUAAAAACUGAAAAGAAAUGAGUCUGAAGAGAAGGGGUGAGGACACCUGAGGCAGGGGAGAAGGAGAGGAGGAGGUGAGAGGAAAGAGCACGUGGUGCAGUGAGGAAUGAUAUGCCCACAGUUCAUCAGAGGGAUGCUCGUAACUACUUUCCCUGGCCAGUCAGAGAGGGAUGGGUCUGUGGCUUCCCAGCUUUUUGGAAAAGGGAAAGCGGCCCAUCUCCUGGAGGAUCACUCGCACUGCUUCAAUCCUCUUCUUUUUGUCUCGGCAACCAAAAAGCAGAAGGCUUAGAGGCGCUCAGCCUCUGGGGUUUUAUGGAUUCAUUCUCAGCUUGGCAGCAAGGGCUGCCCUCGAAUGCAUCUCAGCAGAGACACCAAAUGGCAACAGCUGUCCAUUAACAUCUGUGCGAGAGUUACCUAUUCCUUCCUGUUAGCAGUUCUGUCCCUUAACUAUCAAGCCAGAAAGCAAUCCUACUGUCUUGGAGAGUCCAAGAGGCUGCAGCAGAAGGCCCCUCAUUCGAGAUGCUUACUCAGUGGUGAAAUAAUAAAAUGGUUUGUGCUUGCCGUGGGCCUUUUGCCAAGGGCAGAGUUUCUCUACAGCACUCAAUGACAUAACGCUGCUGCUGUGCUGCCCUUGAAACAAAAACUUCAUGAGAAAAAUCUCUCUGAGCAGAUGAGCCAAGAGAAGUCAAGUUCUGCUUAGCACCGAAGUCUGAUUUAUUUUCUCAGACACUUUCUUAACGCAAUGCAUAUUCUGGGUGUUUUACUGAGAGACUUCACAGUAAAUAAGGCAGAAAUGAAAGCAAAAAUAUAUAUAUAUAUAUUAAACAUGAGAGAGUUGUGAAUGAGCACCAAAUUCCUGUGCGUUCUUGAGGAAAAAGGAGAAAAAUUUUAAGCACAUGUAGCCAGCAAGCCCAGGACAUUGUGUAGAGGCACCGUGCCAAUUUUCCUAUGUUUUAAAUGCUCUCUAUAUUGAAAUACGUAACCUGCAUUCCAGACAUAAAGCUACUAAAUGAUGACAUGGAUGGCUAUAGCCUGUUCCACUGCUUUGUGUGUACUUUCUGAACACUGUCAUUUGGGGCUUGCUGUUUGUAUGGGGAAGGAGCUCUUCCACUCCACAGCGCACUCGGAGUGUGCAGAUACGCACGGGCACGAUGGAAAGCUCUGCUGCAGGAUGUUGGGCCGUCCAGUGAGCCCGUCCCCAAGUGGGCACGAUAUCCACAUUUGCUCCAUGAAACAUCUCUGUUUAAUUUAUUAUGCUAAAGUAGAGAGUGACGUAUUUCAGGGAAACCACUGCUGGCUGUAGAC